ensembl:lncRNA
CUACGGUCCGGGCAGGGGCGGGGCUACCUCGGCGUGAUUUCGCCCGGUACUGGGGCGGAGAGAGGGCGUAGAAAGGGCGGAGUUUCCAGGCUUGCGCGCACGCGCUACUCCUGGUCGCGUCGGGUGUGCGUGCGUGCGUGCGUGUUUGCGUGUGGUCACAGUUCCCGCCAUCAGCCGCUCUCCCUAACUGGGGGACUGAGCGGCCCCUCUCCGUGCCCGGCGUCCCUUCCUUCGCGACCCCCAGCUCCUCCCUCUCCACGCGGACUCCGUGCUUCCGGCAGGCCUGUCCAAAGCUCCGACUCGCAGGUACAGCUGAGUUGAUGGCACCUGGAGAACUGGCAUAGCUGCAGAAUAUGAGUAGUUCCCCAAGAAGAGUGCAUUGCCUUUGGCACAAGGAUCAGAAUAAAGGUGAAUUGUUAUUACAUAGGGUUUUUCAGUAAAAGUCUCUGAAAAGUAAGUAAUGUUUUUAUUUUGGAUAUAUGUUUCCAAGAGUAUGCUAACUAGCAAGAACUGACCAUUUUCUUCUGUUUUGUAGUAGUAAUUUUUGUGUUUUAGCAUGCUUUCUUAAACCACAGAAUACCCUCUGCAUAAGAAUAUUUUCAAAGCAGUACCUGAAAUAAGAGCAUUUAAAUAACUAUAGAGGGUAUAAAAACAUUUUUGCCAAUGUUAUUGAGCUUUCACGGAUUGCUCAGAAUUGAAGAGUGAUUUCAAAAAUGGUGAAAAAAUUUAGGGAAAAGCAAAUAUCUUUGGAUGUACCUAAAGAAUAAUUGGUUUUUCUUGUACUUUGUCUUCCUAAUAUCACUUUGACAGUGAAUUAGCAUUACAGAGUUUAAUGAAACCUUGUCUUUGUUAGGUUCAUAGAAAGUUGAACUGUUACUGGAUCAUGCUAGAUACUUGAAGGGAAACUUAGUGUUUUUUUCUCUUCCAAAUAGGGCAAACUGAUAAUAUGAUCAGUGUACAAAAGAAAAUGCAGCUUACUCAUUUAGUGCAAGAGCAGACAAUGGACUGGAUUGAGACAUUAAGAAAAAAUUGUAUUGAUUCUGCCAAUUUUAUGUCUUGUACCUUUUAGGUUUUUUCUCUUAGCAGAAAGAGAUUACUAGUAGAAAUUGUUAAGAAAAUGUUCAAUAUCUGAAGUAAAAUUUUAUACACUUAACCAAAACUCUGCAUCAGAAUAUUUGAGAAUUAUAUGUAGAGAAAUCAUGUAUUACAUGUAGAGAAAAUUAUAGAGGGAAACAGAAGUAACCAGUAAAGUUUUUUCUUACAUACUUUAUUGAACUUUGAAAUCUUUAUUUCCAAAUCUUGUUAAAUAAUCUAAUUUUUUAAAAUAUGUUUUUGUUGGAGGAAUUCAAGGUCAAUGUCCUUUAUUUACUUUUUGGUCUGUAAGGAAAACACUGAGACAAUGGGGUUUUAACUAUUCCCUUAUAAUUUGGCAUCCUAAAUGUAUAAGAAAAGAUGAGAUAAUUUGAUAAGCCUCUUAAAGUAUAGCUUCUUUGUUGAGCAGUAGAUUAUAUGAAUCCUAGUUUAGACAAGUUUGCUGAUUUUUUUGUUUUAAUAAUGCAUUCUGUAACUGCAUAUUCUUGUUUUUCUCAUUGAUAUGUGGACAGCUUUACAUUUAGGAGAAAUUCAGAUGCACAUAGAAAAAGACUGGAAGUAGUUUUCAAAGAAUGAGAUAUAUAGUACAGAAUGAUGUUCCUGUAAAGAGCUUAAUAAAUAUAAUCCUAUACUGGCCAUAUAAAAGGAGUUUAUGGUUCUAGUAUCUGCUGCUGUAUAUUUUAACUGUAAAAUGAUAAAAUUGAUUGUGCUGGUUUAUUAUUCUUGAAUAAUGACGUGGUUUCUUAUGUGCCAGACAGUGUCCUAGUGAGGAUGCAAAAACAAAGAACAUAUUCCCUGUCUUCAAAUAAUAGAGUUUUCCAUUUUCAUUUGGUGGCUCUCUGUAGGGAGCACUGGUGUGGGCUUCUCAACAUCCAUCAUACCCCAACUGAUAAGUCUAGGACAGUUGGGCCUGUCUUCCAUCCCACAUAGAAGAGAGAGACAAAGAGGUAAAUAGAUAGUUGGUAAUACAAUGUGAUGACUGCCCUACUAGUGGUAAAUGCAGGGUACAGCAGAAGAGCAAAGCAUUACAUGCUCUCAGUGUGUAUAUGGGAUGAGAGAAUAAUUGAAAGAUAGCUAGAAAGGGCAUCUUAGAGAAGAUAAUAUUUAAAUUGAGUUUUGAUUUUAUAGCCAGGAUAAUUUAAAAGGGGGGGGGUUGUGGAAGAUGGGGAGAAUAGGUAAAAAACCCUCCAGAUAUAGACCACAGUCUGCAAAGAUAUAGUGGCAUGAGAAUGCAUGCCUUUUUAAGGAAAAUUGUAAAUAGUAGAUGGCUGAAUUUGGAGAGUUUAUUGGGGUUAGAGGGGUAAGCAGGGCAUGAAUCAUGAUGGGUGUUUAUGUCAUGUGAAUGAGUAGAUUUUAUUGUGAGGGCAUGUGCUCUGUUGUGCUCAGUUGUUCAGUCAUGUCCAACUCUUUGUGACCCCAUGGACUGCAGCCCACAUGGGGAGCUGUUGAAUGAUUUUGUGGAUAGUGAUGUGAGUUGAUCUGAAGUUCAUCAUGAAGAUGUCUGGAAGGUAUAUAGAGGUUAAAUUGACAAAUUUACCUUCCAUUUCCAGUCCAAUACUAAUAAUCAUCAAGAGAGAUGUUAAAGAUAACUCAUGUUUUUGGCAUGGACAACUGGAGUAGAAGAGGGAUCACAUAUUCUUGGCAGUGCAAUGAGACAGAGUGGAAAAAAUCUCAAGGCUAUAUCCAAGCAGUAAAACAUUAAAUUAGUAAUUGUUAAAAAAAAAAAAAGGCAUUACAAACACAUUGCUGAUUUUGUAGUUACUAGUUGGAACAAAAUGUCACAUUAACAGACAGGUCUGUGAACAAUAGUGGCCUCUAUUACUUUGAUGGAUUCAUACACUCAGAUAAUUAGAGUAUAUAAAUCUGGCCACAAUUAGGCACUCAAAAAAUUCAAUCACUGAAUAAUACUAGAGGACUUACGAUACAAAACACCUUAAAUAAUUCAAAGUGUUUUCAUAUCUCUCUUUAAAUUUAUUCUUAGGUGUUUGAUAUAUAGCACCUUGGGGCCUUGAACUAGGGUUCUCCAGUCUAUAUCUUACCUCUAGGUGGGUUUUGUUUGAUUUGAAACUUUGAAUUCAUUGUCCAGAAUUUAAAAUGGGCAGUUUGACAUAAAAAUUUGAUUGCAUUUUCUUGAAGAAUUUGAUGAUCUGGUAAUGCUGGGUUCAUGGCAAAGCUGGCUAGAUUUGAAUAGAAGUUUUCAUAUUUUGCCUGUCUAAAUCGUUUGUGUCACCUGUUUAGCCUCUAUAGGCAGUGAGUUGGUGACCGUUGUUAACAAAUUGUCUGGGAUCUUUGGAGAAAGAGGUGUUGCAGACAAGGAAUAAAUUCAGAAAGUGGACACUAAUUUCAUUCAUAUUGAAGCUGCUGUCUAUUGAAUGCCUAAUGAGUUUUAGCAAUAUUUCAUUUAAUUCUGCAACACUAUAGCAUUGCUGUUUUACAGCUGAGAAAACUAGUGGUGAGGAAAGGUAAGUUAAAAGUUAGUAAGUGACAGAGCUGGCUCCUGGUACUUAGAUCUAGUAUGUUUUUCCUUUGUACAUAUAUUAGUUUUUAGCUUUUCUAGUUGAGUUGUUUAGGCAGAGGCAAAGUUUAAUGGUUUUUAACUUAUUAAAUUAAGAAUCUGUAUUAGAGGCCAUGUUUCUAGAGAUUUGAAGGCUGUAGUGUAAAUUUUGUUUUAAUUUUAUUUGAUUGUGUAUAUAUGUGUAACACUGUUUGAUAAUCAUUUUCUGCUGUUUAAUUGUAUUUACUUGCUGACAUCUGUUAAGCAAGUUUUAAGAGUCUUAGACAUUCUGUCAUAUCUGUAAGUAUCAGAAGUUCACUUGGGAAAUUUGAAUAUUUGUGAAAGAUAAAAUUGGUAAAAAUUCUUUCCAGGAAUGGUAGAGUUAAAACAUAAAUAGUAGGUGGAUCUUAGGAAGAGGGGUUUUUUGGUUAGUUUUGCCUAGAGAAUAAAUGAUUUUCUCAAAUAAUGUAGUUGUUG